rnacentral:misc_RNA from 1 species
GUGAAUCAUCGAAUUUUUGAACGCAAAUUGCACUCUCCUCGGAGAGUAUGCCUGUUUGAGGGUCAGCCUAUAAAAAAUCGACAUCGUUGCUGUUUCGUGGUGGCGUUCGUCGGAAAUUGGGUCAUCUUAAUCCUUUUGAUUUAAGCGACUUAAAAUUUUCUUUUGGUUCCAUGAACGUUUCUAAGAUCUAUUUCUUUUCACGUUUAAGGUAUCGAUUUUUUCUAGACGUUACCCUCAUAUCCGAUCGCGCCCCUAAUCUUUCAUUUACUUAACUCAGACCGGUAAGGGUUCCCGCUG